GGUCUGAUGGUCUAGUGGUAGGAUUCUCGCUUUGGGUUCUUCUUAAUACGGAUUACAACACUGCGAGAGAUCCCGGGUUCAAUCCCCGGUCAGACCC
rnacentral:tRNA from 1 species